rnacentral:rRNA from 1 species
AUUGAACGCUCGCGGCAGGCCUAACACAUGCAAGUCGAGCGAGCGGCGGACGGGUGAGUAAUGUAUGGGGACUGCCCGAUAGAGGGGGAUAACUACUGGAAACGGUGGCUAAUACCGCAUACUAUCGGAUAACCCAUAUGGGAUUAGCGAGUAGGUGGGGUAAAGGCUCACCUAGGCGACGAUCUAUAGCUGGUAUGAGAGGAUGAUCAGCCACACGGGGGAUGAUACACGGCCCAGAAUCAUACGGAGGCAGAAGUGGGGAAGAGUGCACAAUGGGCGAAAGCAUGAGGCAGCCAUGCGGCGUGUAUGAAGAAGGCCUUAGGGUUGUAAAGUACUUUCAGCGGGGAGGCGUUACCCGCAGAAGAAGCACCGGCUAACUCCGUGCCAGCAGCCGAGGUAAGUC